UACGUAGGGUGCGAGCGUUGUCCGGAAUUACUGGGCGUAAAGAGCUCGUAGGCGGUUUGUCGCGUCGUCCGUGAAAACCUGAGGCUCAACCUCAGGCCUGCAGUCGAUACGGGCAUCACUAGAGUUCGGCAGGGGAGACUGGAAUUCCUGGUGUAGCGGUGAAAUGCGCAGAUAUCAGGAGGAACACCGGUGGCGAAGGCGGGUCUCGUGGGCAGUAACUGACGCUGAGGAGCGAAAGCGUGGGGAGCAAACAGG
rnacentral:rRNA from 1 species